CUUUGUCUCUGCCUCGGCCUGCGGCCCCCAGCCCAGCCUCCGCGCUUUCCCUCCGCCAGUCCUUGUCAAUCAAACCUGGUGCCAAACGCGGCAGCUGAAGUUUUCAGGGACACAUUUGCUUCUCCCCUUGAAGAACCAGUUACAAAGCGUGAUGUCCUCUCUGGGGUCCCAUCAGAACAAAGAAACAGGUCUAAAGACCCUCAUUCCAGAGAGCAUCCUGCCCCAUAUCCAGAAUGAAAUCCAUGCUCAGAGAUGCCAAGAAGAAUCUAGACAGACAGGCCUUUCUAGGAAGUGAGGAGCGUCUCUGCCCGGCCGCCCAUUGUCUGAGAUGUGGGGAGAGCCUCUGCCCCGCCGCCCCGCCUGGGAUGUGAGGAGCGCCUCUACCCGGCCGCGACCCUGUCUGGGAGGUGAGGAGCGUCUCUGCCCGGCCGCCCCGUCUGAGAAGUGAGGAGACCCUCCGCCUGGCAACCGCCCGUCUGAGAAGUGAGGAGCCCCUCCGCCCGGCAGUCACCCCGUCUGGGAAGUGAGGAGCGUCUCCGCCCAGCAGCCACCCCGUCCGGGAGGGAGGUGGGGGUCAGCCCCCGCCAGGCCAGCUGCCC
ensembl:lncRNA NNT-AS1 NNT antisense RNA 1